UCAAGGUGACCUAAGAUUUAACUGUCAAUCUUAGAAUAGUCAACCAUAUUAUAUUUCAAUCUUUCAAAUCUAUCAUGUGGAUUAUCUUGAUCAAGAUUUUACUAAAUUGAAAUACACUGAUACAUUAACUCCUACUUAUUCAGAGGGAUUAAUCCCGUCUUGACUCACAUACCAACUUGAUAAGUAUUUGAUUACAUCCAAAAAUCUUUCAUCACUGAAUUAAAAAUUUAGAUAGUCUGAUACUAAAGUACAAUGAGUUGUUCGCAAGUCACCAUGAUGAUCUC
rnacentral:lncRNA from 1 species